rnacentral:misc_RNA from 1 species
AAUUCUCAACCCUUUCAGCUUUUGCGAGCUGGGAUUGGCUUGGAUUGUGGGGGUUUGCGGGCUUCUCAGAAGUCGGCUCCUCUUAAAUGCAUUAGCGGAACCUUUGUGGACCAGCUUUGGUGUGAUAAUUAUCUACGCCAUGGUUGUGAAGCAGUUUUACAUGGGGUUCAGCUUCUAAUCGUCCAUUGACUUGGACAACUUUUGACAUU